UGCCCUAGUAACGGCGAGUGAAGCGGCAACAGCUCAAAUUUGAAAUCUGGCCCUAGGCCCGAGUUGUAAUUUGUAGAGGAUGCUUUUGGUGCGGCGCCUUCUAAGUUCCCUGGAACGGGACGCCGGAGAGGGUGAGAGCCCCGUAUAGUCGGCAGCCAAGCCUCUGUAAAGCUCCUUCGACGAGUCGAGUAGUUUGGGAAUGCUGCUCAAAAUGGGAGGUAAAUUUCUUCUAAAGCUAAAUACCGGCUAGAGACCGAUAGCGCACAAGUAGAGUGAUCGAAAGAUGAAAAGCACUUUGAAAAGAGGGUUAAACAGCACGUGAAAUUGUUGAAAGGGAAGCGCUUGUGACCAGACUUGCGCCCCGCGGAUCACCCGUCGUUCUCGCCGGGGCACUCCACGGGGCUCAGGCCAGCAUCGGUUUCGCCGGGGGGAUAAAAGUUUAGGGAACGUGGCUCCCCCGGGAGUGUUAUAGCCCUCUACAGAAUACCCCCAGCGGGACCGAGGUUCGCGCUCUGCAAGGAUGCUGGCGUAAUGGUCAUCAGCGACCCGUCUUGAAACACGGACCAAGGAGUCAAGCAUUAGGGCGAGUGUUUGGGUGUAAAACCCGCACGCGUAAUGAAAGUGAACGUAGGUGAGAGCUUCGGCGCAUCAUCGACCGAUCCUGAAGUAUUCGGAUGGAUUUGAGUAUGAGCCUUACCGCUUGGACCCGAAAGAUGGUGAACUAUGCCUGUAUAGGGUGAAGUCAGAGGAAACUCUGAUGGAGGCUCGCAGCGGUUCUGACGUGCAAAUCGAUCGUCAAAUAUGGGCAUGGGGGCGAAAGACUAAUCGA
rnacentral:rRNA from 1 species